UCGGCGCAUAUGCCUACCGGUUUUGCGUCAACAAUAACAAUAACAAGUAACAAAGGAGUACCAACAGGAGCUUCAAUGAAAGGUGGACUCUUGCGCGCCGACAUAAUUGCAACGCCCGCAUACCUCAGGUCGUCAGCUUCUAUCAAGUCAAGGUCAAGGUCGCUAUUGUGGAUAAGCACGGAUCCCGCUAUUUAAUGGCAUCCAAAAAAUCGAUUAACUUCUCACGCGAUGGCCGUUUGAUUAAACGCGAUAAGUGACAAAAAUGAUUUAUCCUAACAACGACGGUUUCUUUCGUGUCAUGAAUGCAGCGGCAACCGAAUGGCACAAACGUAUCUGCAGGGGAAUCAACAGUGAUUAUGUGAGUCUCCACAAAACGCACGAUAUUGACCCGACAUUUUCCGAUUAUUCCGUCAAAACGAUUUAUGUGCGUGUCCACGUGCCAGCGGUUUUCCUUUCUUCGCCGCACCAGUAGCACCGGGAGGAGAGAAAAAAGGUGUUCCGGAUCUCCUCGAGGAGAAUGAGAUAGAAAGGUGGUGAAGUGGUGCACGAAGGGAGGGGUCGAAGGCGAAUAUCCUUCCUGUCUGUCUUCGCGAGCGUGCAGCUGCUCUCGGAUUUGAGCACGUGCUACCACCGCGCGCCUAGGAUAGAGCGCCUCGUCCUUACGCCUCUGCUUCGGGACGACGACAGAGCUGUUUGCAACAUGUGGACAAAGUGCGUUAAUGGGACGUACUGUUGUGGUCGAAGGAAAGGUGACAGGGGGAAAAGAGAGGGAGCGCCAGCUCGCAUUCUUCUGAGACCCGGAGAACAGGUUUUCAUUUUUUUGCACAAGUAGAGACGAGUCAUGCGGAUACGAAAAAGUCGAAGAAUGAAAAAGAGGAAGCGCAGAUGACGCGCAAUCGCUGCCUCGGCAUGCGCCCGUAUGUUCUACAGUAUUAGGUAAGUAAACCCCUAAAUUAGGGCAGUUGGCAAAUAUCCAGAUUAGGGUGCCUCCACGCGAUCUCAUUGGAACUCGGUUAUUUCAUGCAAUUCAUGCUGCAGAGUUCGA